rnacentral:sRNA from 1 species
UGGUUGGGACCAUGACUGUGGAUAUGACGGCGUCAAUGCAGAACACAGUCUUGCUC